rnacentral:rRNA from 1 species
UACGUAGGGGGCAAGCGUUGUCCGGAUUUAUUGGGCGUAAAGCGCGUGUAGGCGGCUAGGUAGGUCCGCUGUGAAAACUCGAGGCUCAACCUCGAGAGGUCGGUGGAAACCAUCUGGCUAGAGUCCGGAAGAGGAGAAUGGAAUUCCUGGUGUAGCGGUGAAAUGCGCAGAUAUCAGGAAGAACACCCGUGGCGAAGGCGGUUCUCUGGGACGGUACUGACGCUGAGACGCGAAAGCGUGGGGAGCGAACAGG